rnacentral:rRNA from 1 species
GCCUUCAUGAAGCCGGAAUUGCUAGUAAUGGCAGGUUAGCAUACUGCCGUGAAUACGUUCCCGGGCCUUGUACACACCGCCCGUCACACCAUGAGAGUUGGGAAUACCCGAAGCCUGUGAGCUAACUUUUAAGAGGCAGCAGUCGAAGGUAGAAUCAAUGAUUGGGGUGAAGUCGUAACAAGGUACC